UUUUGGUCACCUGACUUCCUGUUGGUGUUGCUGAGCUUAGUUGCGGGUUACUUUUCCGAAGCCUCCAUCGCAGCUGGUCGUAGCUGUAGAAGCCUCCUCUGAGCCAUUCUGCUUACGUUUUAUGACACGGCUUACUUGAUGCGGAGUGCCGACGUGGAGGAGACCAGGGUGCCUUGGUGGUGGGAUCCUCUGAGUGUACACACCUGCCUUGUUUAAUUUAUAGUGAUAAAAGCAAAGCAGCAGCUACUUUGGUGUGGGAUUCCACAGCUGUGUUACAGAGAUGGAGGAAGAGUUACAGGAACUCAGGGACUUGAUCGCGCAGCUGAAAGCAGACAAUGAGAGGCUGCGCCAGGAGAGGGCUGUUGAGUCAGAUGCGGAGUGCCGACGUGGAGGAGACCAGGGUGCCUUGGUGGUGGGAUCCUCUGAGUGUACACACCUGCCUUGUUUAAUUUAUAGUGUGAGUGUGUGAUAGUGUGCUGCACUUGUGUCUUGGUGUAUUUUCUUCUUUUUGAGUUUGUGUGUGGCAUCCCUGCCCUCCACUGGUAAGCCUCAGCUCUGAAUACCUUUUU
ensembl:lncRNA